CGAACGGUCGCGUAACACGUGGGCAACCUGCCCUGAAGCGGGGGAUAACAGUCCGAAAGGAUUGCUAAUACCGCAUGUGGACGAAGAAGGCAUCUUCUUUGUCUAAAGGAGAAAUCCACUUCAGGAUGGGCCCGCGGCCUAUCAGCUUGUUGGUGGGGUAACGGCCUACCAAGGCUUCGACGGGUAGCUGGUCUGAGAGGACGACCAGCCGGAUUGGGACUGAGAUACGGCCCAG
rnacentral:rRNA from 1 species